UACGUAGGGGGCUAGCGUUGUCCGGAUUUAUUGGGCGUAAAGAGUGCGUAGGCGGCUAUGUAAGACAGAUGUGAAAUCCCUGGGCUUAACCUAGGAACUGCAUUUGUGACUGUAUGGCUAGAGUGUGGUAGAGGGAGAUGGAAUUCCGCAUGUAGCAGUGAAAUGCGUAGAUAUCAGGAGGAACACCAGUGGCGAAGGCGGCUUCCUGGCCUGUUCUUGACGCUGAGGCGCGAAAGCUAGGGGAGCAAACGGG
rnacentral:rRNA from 1 species